GUCGAGUCAGCGUUGCCAAAGCU
rnacentral:siRNA from 1 species